UACAGAGGGGGCAAGCGUUGUUCAGAAUUACUGGGCGUAAAGGGCGCGUAGGCGGCCUGUUAAGUCGAACGUGAAAUCCCCGGGCUCAACCCGGGAACUGCGUCCGAUACUGGCAGGCUUGAAUCCGGGAGAGGGAUGCGGAAUUCCAGGUGUAGCGGUGAAAUGCGUAGAUAUCUGGAGGAACACCGGUGGCGAAGGCGGCAUCCUGGACCGGCAUUGACGCUGAGGCGCGAAAGCCAGGGGAGCAAACGGGG
rnacentral:rRNA from 1 species